rnacentral:rRNA from 1 species
ACUCCUGCGGGAGGCAGCAGUGGGGAAUCUUGCGCAAUGGGCGAAAGCCUGACGCAGCCAUGCCGCGUGAAUGAUGAAGGUCUUAGGAUUGUAAAAUUCUUUCACCGGGGACGAUAAUGACGGUACCCGGAGAAGAAGCCCCGGCUAACUUCGUGCCAGCAGCCGCGGUAAUACGAAGGGGGCUAGCGUUGCUCGGAAUUACUGGGCGUAAAGGGAGCGUAGGCGGACAUUUAAGUCAGGGGUGAAAUCCCGGGGCUCAACCUCGGAAUUGCCUUUGAUACUGGGUGUCUUGAGUAUGAGAGAGGUGUGUGGAACUCCGAGUGUAGAGGUGAAAUUCGUAGAUAUUCGGAAGAACACCAGUGGCGAAGGCGACACACUGGCUCAUUACUGACGCUGAGGCUCGAAAGCGUGGGGAGCAAACAGGAUUAGAAACCCGAGUAGUCCCAUGAU